AGCUUGCCUGCAAGUGAACAAAAGGACGUGUGAUGAGGACGCCGUGACGGAGCGAAUGGAUUGGCCUGUUUCAGAGACGUCAGCCCACGCAAGCUACCUGUACCUGCGGACAAAGCGAGUCGGCAGACACGCCACGAGGCGUCAAAGGUGCGAAAUGGGAUUCCGCAGCGGGCGUCAGCUGAAGUUUUGGCAGCUGGACUCGCACCCGGGCCAGUUGCACACGCCGUGAUCGUACAGGACAUUUGGAUCUCUGAAGUCAGCUUGACUCAAGCUAGAUGAAGAACCACAUCAUGACCAUCGGGAUACCUGGUGGAGGAUGAAGGCCUUCUGCUUGUGCUGCAUCAGAGCGUGCAGCUGUCCGCUGGAC